rnacentral:rRNA from 1 species
AGGUCGGAUUAGCUAGUUGGUGGGGUAAAGGCCUACCAAGGCGACGAUCCGUAACUGGUCUGAGAGGAUGAUCAGUCACACUGGAACUGAGACACGGUCCAGACUCCUACGGGAGGCAGCAGUGGGGAAUAUUGGACAAUGGGCGAAAGCCUGAUCCAGCCAUGCCGCGUGUGUGAAGAAGGUCUUCGGAUUGUAAAGCACUUUAAGUUGGGAGGAAGGGCAGUAAGUUAAUACCUUGCUGUUUUGACGUUACCAACAGAAUAAGCACCGGCUAACUUCGUGCCAGCAGCCGCGGUAAUACGAAGGGUGCAAGCGUUAAUCGGAAUUACUGGGCGUAAAGCGCGCGUAGGUGGUUCAGCAAGUUGGAUGUGAAAUCCCCGGGCUCAACCUGGGAACUGCAUCCAAAACUACUGAGCUAGAGUACGGUAGAGGGUGGUGGAAUUUCCUGUGUAGCGGUGAAAUGCGU